ensembl:lncRNA
CUGCCCGCCGCCGCCGCCCCUGCUGGGCAGCAAGAGCCGCAAGUCGUCCAAGAGCUCCAAGGACCGCGACCGACGGAGACGCAAGGAGGGCAAGGGCGGGGGCGACAAGGAGGAGAAGAGGAAGAAGAGCGUGGCGGCGGCGGCGACGAAGGAGAAGGCCAAGGAGAAGGCCAAGGGGGAGGGGAGUCGGGACAAGAGCCGGGAGCGGGGCCGCAGGGCUGCGGACGGGAGGGGGCGGGGCCCCGAGGAGGCCGGGGGCCGACCGAGGAGCAGCAGCAGCAACAGCCGCAAGAGGAAGAAGAGGAGGCACAGCAGCCCCGAGACGUCGCGCUCGCACAACUCGUCGGGGCGCGGUGCCCACAGCCGGCGCUCGUUCUCCAGCCCCUCGGAGGAGCGACCGAGGGAGAGGGACCGGGAGAGGGAGAGGGACCACGACCGGGACAGGGACCACGACCGGGACAGGGACCACGACCGGGACAGGGACAGGGAGCGGGAGAGGGAGCGGGAACGAGACCGAGACAAGGAGAGGGACCGAGACCGAGGGCGGAGCGGGGACCGCGGCCGCCGCGCCAAAGACCGGAAGGACCGGGACUCCAGCCACGGCAAGCGGGAGCGGGACCGGGACCUGGACCGGGAACGGGACGGCAAGGAGCGCUCCAGCAGCAGAGAGCGCUCCGGCACCAAGAAGUCCAAACACGGGCGUGGAGCGCGACGGGCGGCCGUGG